rnacentral:rRNA from 1 species
GAUCUCUUUGAGGCCCGUUAUCGGAAUGAGAACAAUUCAAAUCCUUUAACGAGGAUCUAGCGGAGGGCAAGUCUGGUGCCAGCAGCCGCGGUAAUUCCAGCUCCGCAGGUGUAUAUCUAUGCUGCUGCGGUUAAAAAGCUCGUAGUUGGAUCUGCGUGCUCGGAACUGGUUGGCUCACUGAGUUCAAACUGGUCUCCGGCGCUUUAUUGGCUGGUUUUCCCUUGAUGCUCUUAACCGGGUGUCUUGGGUGGCUGGCACGUUUACUUUGAAAAAAUUAGAGUGCUCAAUACAGGCGUAAAGCCUUGAAUAGUGUUGCAUGGAAUAAUAGAAUAGGACCUCGGCUCUAUUUUGUUGGUUUUCGGAACGCGAGGUAAUGAUUAAGAGGGACAGACGGGGGCAUUCGUAUUGCGACGUUAGAGGUGAAAUUCUUGGAUCGUCGCAAGACGGACGACUGCGAAAGCAUUUGCCAAGAAUGUUUUCAUUAAUCAAGAACGAAAGUUAGAGGUUCGAAGGCGAUCAGAUACCGCCCUAGUUCUAACCGUAAACGAUGCCAACUAGCGAUUCGCAGGCGUUAAACAACGACCUUGCGGGCAGCUUCCCGGAAACGAAAGUGUUCGGGUUCCGGGGGAAGUAUGGUUGCAAAGCUGAAACUUAAAGGAAUUGACGGAAGGGCACCACCAGGAGUGGAGCCUGCGGCUUAAUUUGACCCAACACGGGAAAACUCACCCGGCCCGGACACCGUAAGGAUUGACAGAUUGAGAGCUCUUUCUUGAUUCGGUGGGUGGUGGUGCAUGGCCGUUCUUAGUUGGUGGAGCGAUUUGUCUGGUUUAUUCCGAUAACGAACGAGACUCUGGCCUACUAAAUAGUGGGCGGAUUCUUUCUGUCCGCAACACUUCUUAGAGGGACAAGCGGUGUUCAGCCGCACGAGAUUGAGCAAUAACAGGUCUGUGAUGCCCUUAGAUGUCCGGGGCUGCACGCGCGCUACACUGAAGGAAUCAGCGUGCUUUCUGACCUUGCCCGAAAGGGCUGGGUAACCCGAUGAAAAUCCUUCGUGAUUGGGAUAGGGACUUGCAAUUAUUUCCCUUGAACGAGGAAUUCCCAGUAAGUGUGGGUCAUAAGCUCGCGUUGAUUACGUCCCUGCCCUUUGUACACACCGCCCGUCGCUGCCCGGAACUGAGCCGUUUCGAGAAGAACAGAGACCGUCGUUGAAGGGCCUUAACGGGCUUUUCUCUGAUAGAAACUGUU